CCCGCGGGCCCCCGCCGGCGGGCAGCUCGUGAGAACUGAUGUGGUCGCGGGGCACGCCGCACCGGGUGUCACUCGCUCGCAGGACGCCGUGGACGCGAGACUCUCGCGGGCCGCGCCCCGGGUCGCGGACUUGGCCGCCGCGCGGGUCGCGGACUCGGCCGCGGCCGGCACUCCUCCUCGUGCACCUGCUCGUCGGCAUCCCCGAGCUCGCCGCGCCGCUCAAGUGCUCCGCCACGCACCUCAGCCUGAGGACUUCCUACGCCGCGGGGUCGCCGUCGAGGACACGCCGCGGGCCGCCGCGCGCUGCAGCACCACCACGAACACGAGUUCGCUGCUGAAGAAGCCAUGCUGUUGCACCUGGCUGCCUACACCGCGCCCAGGGAUGAAGAAGGACUCACCCUGGCCAACAACUCGCUCGUCCUCCGCAGCUCCCUGUCCACUGCAACAACGUCGUCAUUGUCCCGGUCGCUGUGAUGUGCAUGUGGGCUUUCCGUGGUUUGGACUGGUGGCCCACACUCACAACACUUGCGGCCGGGGUGACUCUCUUCAGCUCGUCAUCAGCCAUCUCACCUCCCGCCCGCGAUCUCCAGCGGGGCAGCUCCAGGAACUACGGGAGACGGAGUCGGACGGUGUGAUGUGCAUGUGGGCUUUCCGUGUUGUUUGUUCGGUGGCCCACAGUCACAGCACUGACGGACGAACUCUGUCAAGGCGACACGCAGCUAAGAGCCCCCCCCCCCCCCUCCAUUUCUAUUGUCGCAGCCAGCCACCGUAUGUUCACAGGUGUUCGGUGUUCCGGUCAUCACAUGUUGCAUGCUACUUGAUAAAAAUAAAGUCGACUGAUUCAAAA